rnacentral:rRNA from 1 species
UACCAGUUGUCGUGCCAACGGCAUAGCUGGGUAGCUAUGUAUGGACGGGAUAAGUGCUGAAAGCAUCUAAGCAUGAAGCCCCCCUCGAGAUGAGAUUUCCCAACUUCGGUUAUAAGAUCCCUCAAAGAUGAUGAGGUGAAUAGGUUCGAGGUGGAAGCGUAGCGAUACGUGGAGCUGACGAAUACUAAUCGAUCGAAGACUUAAUCAACAU